rnacentral:tRNA from 1 species
GACCUUGUGGCCUAACGGAUAAGGUGUCUGACUUCGGAUCAGAAGAUUGCAGGUUCGAGUCCUGUCAGGGUCG